GCGCUUUUCGGUAGCCGCGCUUUCCGGCGUUGGAGUUGCAGCUUCACCCUCGCAGAUUCGGCUUAGCGAGCGAGUCGGUGCUUCCGCGGAUCAAAAUUAUUAGCCGUUUUAUUAGAGCCCAUUAAACGUUGCAUAAACAUGGUUCAGAGCUGCCUGGGAGAAGAAAAGCCAAAGGAUGCCACCCUCUCGAUUUAUCCCACCCUCGGGAGUCUGAAAGCCGACGCCAGGAGAAAUCCCGCGAAGGCCGCCCGGGAUCCUGGUAGAGGCGACGCUGUGUGCGUUUAUGGAGCGCUUGCGGUGCGUGGCACUAGGCUGGGUGUGGUGGGUGCUGCCGAAAAAAGGGUUCCUCCCAUCCAUUUGCACGUCACCCUUCCCACCUCCUGCCCAGAUGGACAGAAGUGAGGACAUUCAUCGGCCGCAUUUUACUAAUGGCAAGGAGAUAGCGACUGAAGGGCAAGAACCUAGGGUUUCCUGUCUUUGAUAUUUCUCAUCUUUGAGGUAAGUACACCUGGACAGUCCCUUCCUUCCUCCUCAGGGCUCAUGCUUUCUUGCCUAUCCGUGUAAUUAAUAUGAUCUGGCUAUCUUUGUCUUUGUUCCGAAACUUCAGCUGCAAAUGAAAGUGUAAGUUAGGUCUGAGUCUGCACUAUAGACCUAGCUAUCCUAGGUUAAAGGGGAUAAAAUAGGAAUCAAGAAGCCUGGCCCGCUUGGGCUCCCAGCUCAAGUGCAUUCUGCAAUCCAGUUUAUAUUAGGCCUCCAUGUGGGUGGCUAUCCUUUAUCAAGAUCCCCCCCAGGGGGAGGAGGAUUAUUAGUCACAUUAUCAAACUCCCCUCCAACCCCUUUCUCUGCUUAGAGGUAUGUGUAAUGUGUAGUAGAAAGACCGAAUCCCCACCCAAAAGUCCUUACUGCUACUCAUGUUUUUAACCUUCUGUUCUUUACCCUACUCCCUAAUAAUGACCGCCAUCAUUUAUCUACUGCUUAAUGGAUACUAGGCACUGUGCUAAGGGUUUUAUGUUUUACUUCAAUCUUUUCAUCGGCUUUAUUUUGAUAGUUUGUUUUAUAGAGGAGGAAACAGACUUAGGUAAGUUACAAGAUGACAAGGUUACUACCUUGUUCAGUUAGUAGUCAGCAGCUAGUAUAUCCAAAGAUAGUACGAGUCAGAACUAGGAUUAUAAACUCAGGGCUACCUGAAACUCACAACUUCAGGCAUCUUUGAUUUCUUCUUUUCACCCACAGCCAAUUCUUCAACUAAAUUGUAUCCAUUCUGUUUUCACCGUCUCUUGUACUGGUCUCCUUUCUAUUGUAACUGUCAUCAUCCUAACUCAAGAUCCUUCUGUAGCUUUCCCCGGUUAUUGGAAUAUCCUUAUUACGACUGCCACCUUUUCUAAUCCAGUCUGUUUACUACUGCCGGGUUAAUUUCCCCAAACUGCAUGUCUGGGGAAUAACCUUGUGGUUAUGACAGAAUUCCCAAAGGAAAGCAAACUUGGCAAGGUGCAAAGACUAUGAAGACUUAGAACUUAAGAGUUCUAUGGAGAUCUUCAGAAAUAUAAAUUAGCUACUCAACAUAUCUGUUAUUCUGCCCUGAUUGCACUGUAAAGCAAAAGGAGAGAGGCCAUUAUGGGGAAAAAGAUCCAAAAGGACUCAUCUAAAACACAAGUUGGGUAGAGGAGAUAGGUGAGUACUAUUAUAUUAUGUUCAUGGAAAAUGAGUUCAUGGGCUUUCCUCUAAUUUUUAUUUUAAAAAUAAAUGUAAAUAUUAAAUAAAAUUUUUUAAAUGAACAAA
ensembl:lncRNA RNF139-DT RNF139 divergent transcript